rnacentral:rRNA from 1 species
CUACGUGCCAGCAGCCGCGGUAAUACGUAGGGCGCGAGCGUUGUCCGGAAUUAUUGGGCGUAAAGAGCUUGUAGGCGGUUUGUCGCGUCUGCUGUGAAAGGCCGGGGCUUAACCCCGUGUAUUGCAGUGGGUACGGGCAGACUAGAGUGCAGUAGGGGAGACUGGAAUUCCUGGUGUAGCGGUGGAAUGCGCAGAUAUCAGGAGGAACACCGAUGGCGAAGGCAGGUCUCUGGGCUGUAACUGACGCUGAGAAGCGAAAGCAUGGGGAGCGAACAGGAUUAGAUACCCUGGUAGUCCAUGCCGUAAACGUUGGGCACUAGGUGUGGGGGACAUUCCACGUUUUCCGCGCCGUAGCUAACGCAUUAAGUGCCCCGCCUGGGGAGUACGGCCGCAAGGCUAAAACUCAAAGAAAUUGACGGGGGCCCGCACAAGCGGCGGAGCAUGCGGAUUAAUUCGAUGCAACGCGAAGAACCUUACCAAGGCUUUG